CCGUUAACGAACGAGACCUUAACCUGCUAAAUAGCCCGUUCUGCCUUGGCAGUCCGCUGGCUUCUUAGAGGGACUAUCGGCUCAAGCCGAUGGAAGUUUGAGGCAAUAACAGGUCUGUGAUGCCCUUAGAUGUUCUGGGCCGCACGGUAAGCUUUAACCCCUAAACCAACCCCCUAACCUAUUUUAUGACACAUGCUAACGUUCUUUGCAGCGCGCUACACUGACAGAGCCAGCGAGUAAUUCCUUGGCCGGAAGGCACGGGUAAUCUUGUGAAACUCUGUCGUGCUGGGGAUAGAGCAUUGCAAUUAUUGCUCUUCAACGAGGAAUCCCUAGUAAGCGCAAGUCAUCAGCUUGCGUUGAUUACGUCCCUGCCCUUUGUACACACCGCCCGUCGCUAGUACCGAUUGAAUGGAUA
rnacentral:rRNA from 1 species